AGCUUCUACCUGGGUUAAGCUACGAAAAAUAAGCCUGGGCGAAUACUACUUCUACCAGGAAAUAUGAGCUAGAUUCCCCUAGGUGAAAAAAGUUCUACCUGGGUUAAGCUACGUAAAACAACCUGAGCGAAGAGUACUUCUACUCGUAACUAUGAGCUGGAUCCCCCUAGGCAAAAAGAUUAUACCUGGAUUAAGCUACGUAAAACAACCUGAGCGAAGAGUACUUCUACCCGGAACUAUGAGCUGGAUCCCCCUAGGCGAAAAUAUUCUACCUGGAUUAAGCUACGUAAAAUAACCUGGGCAAAGAGUACUUCUACCCGGAACUAUGAGCUGGACCCCCAUUGGCAAAAAGGUUCUACCUGGGUUAAGCUACGUAAAACAACUUGGGCGAAGAGUACUUCUACCCGGAACUAUGAUCUGGACCCCCCUAGGCGAAAAUGUUCUACCUGGGUUAAGCUACGAAAAUGAGAGGUAUAAAAAGUAGUGAUGCAUGCUAAAAAUAAAGGAAAAUUGGAGAUCUUAAGAAAACUUACCUUUGGUGACAUUCGUCCUUUAGGAAUCGACAUUCUGCACUGCUUUGUUCCU
rnacentral:lncRNA from 1 species